rnacentral:misc_RNA from 1 species
UAAGUAGACUGCAUAAGUUAUGCAGGCCCUUAUACAGUUUUUGGCAGGUUUGGGCUCUCUACGUGAAGCUGCAUAAGUAAAGAAUGGAUCUGCAUAAGUUAUGCCAUAGCUUAUGCAGAUUUCGGCUAUUUUGAUUGUUUCCUCCGUGAAACUACAUAAGCAAAGUGCAAGACUGCAUAAGUUAUGCAGUUUUCCGUAAAGCUGCAUAAGCAGGACGUGAACUUGCAUAAGUCAUGCAGAGUAGUUAUGCAGAUUUUGACAGGUUUAGGAGUUUGCUUCUUCUUCCUGUGCAGAACUGCACAACUUAUGCAGCAGGUUAUGCACAUUUCGGUUACCUUGCAUUUUUCAACUUUCAAACUUUGUUUUUGAUAUCUUUAGCUGUAGAAAUCACUCCUCAUUGG